rnacentral:snRNA from 1 species
GUGCUCACUUGGGCAGUACAUACAUUAAAAUUGGAAUGAUACACAGAAGAUUAGCAUGGCCCCUGUGCAAGGAUGACACACAAACUUGUGAAGAGUUCCAUAUCUUU